AAUAAUUUUAUGAUGAUUAUUAAAAAAAACUUUUUUCAUUUGGUUAUUUUGGCUUCGAUGGUAUUUUGCGUUCGUAUAAAAAAUAACAAUAAUAAAACAAAUUCCCAUAGAUGCGUUGAGUACGGAGAAAUGUGUGAUAUUAAGAAUAGAUUAACAUGUUGCAAUCCGAAUUUUAUAUGUAAACUAGCAGUUACGGAUAAUUAUUUCAUGUGUGCAAGAGAAGCCAAAUUGGGAGAUUAUUGUAUAUUUGAUGAAGAUUGUGGAACUGUAUGGCACGCAAAAUGUUCGAGCGAUAACAAAUGUGUUUGUAUGUCAAAUCACAUACAAAAAAAUAAAAAUAAUUGCGUGCCGUUAUUAGGUGAAUAUUGUUUAAGAAAUGGCGAGUGUGGGACGGAAAAUUCUUUCUGUCUGAAUAAUGAAUGUCGAUGUAAGGAUUCUUUUUAUGUAUAUUCCAAAA